rnacentral:rRNA from 1 species
UUGAUGUUCUAACGUGGACCCGUGAUCCGGGUUGCGGACAGUGUCUGGUGGGUAGUUUGACUGGGGCGGUCUCCUCCUAAAGAGUAACGGAGGAGCACGAAGGUUGGCUAAUCCUGGUCGGACAUCAGGAGGUUAGUGCAAUGGCAUAAGCCAGCUUGACUGCGAGCGUGACGGCGCGAGCAGGUGCGAAAGCAGGUCAUAGUGAUCCGGUGGUUCUGAAUGGAAGGGCCAUCGCUCAACGGAUAAAAGGUACUCCGGGGAUAACAGGCUGAUACCGCCCAAGAGUUCAUAUCGACGGCGGUGUUUGGCACCUCGAUGUCGGCUCAUCACAUCCUGGGGCUGAAGUAGGUCCCAAGGGUAUGGCUGUUCGCCAUUUAAAGUGGUACGCGAGCUGGGUUUAGAACGUCGUGAGACAGUUCGGUCCCUAUCUGCCGUGGGCGCUGGAGAACUGAGGGGGGCUGCUCCUAGUACGAGAGGACCGGAGUGGACGCAUCACUGGUGUUCGGGUUGUCAUGCCAAUGGCACUGCCCGGUAGCUAAAUGCGGAAGAGAUAAGUGCUGAAAGCAUCUAAGCACGAAACUUGCCCCGAGAUGAGUUCUCCCUGAGACUUUAGGUCUCCUGAAGGAACGUUGAAGACGACGACGUUGAUAGGCCGGGUGUGUAAGCGCAGCGAUGCGUUGAGCUAACCGGUACUAAUGAACCGUGAGGCUUAACCUU